rnacentral:tRNA from 1 species
GGAGACGUAUCGAAGUGGUCAUAACGAGCUCGACUCGAAAUCGAGUUGUCGGCUUGAAACCGGCACGUGGGUUCGAAUCCCACCGUCUCCG